rnacentral:tRNA from 1 species
CUCUCUCUAGCACAAUGGUAGUGCGGUGGGCCCAUAACCCACAGGUCCGAUGAUCGAAACAUCGGUCGGAAA